AUUGAACGCUGGCGGCAGGCCUAACACAUGCAAGUCGAGCGGAGCGGCGGACGGGUGAGUAAUGCCUAGGAAUCUGCCUGGUAGUGGGGGAUAACUUCCGGAAACGGGCGCUAAUACCGCAUCCUCUCAGAUGCACCUAGGUCGGAUUAGCUAGUUGGUGGGGUAAAGGCCAACCAAGGCGACGAUCCUUCACUGGUCUGAGAGGAUGAUCAGUCACACUGGAACUGAGACACGGUCCAGACUCCUACGGGAGGCAGCAGUGGGGAAUAUUGGACAAUGGGCGAAAGCCUGAUGCAGCCAUGCCGCGUGUGUGAAGAAGGUCUUCGGAUUGUAAAGCACUUUAAGUUGGGAGGCGUUACCAACAGAAUAAGCACCGGCUAACUUCGUGCCAGCAGCCGCGGUAAUAC
rnacentral:rRNA from 1 species